GUAAAGUCAGAGAAGAAGGAGGAGAAGAAGAAGAAGAAGAUC
rnacentral:sRNA from 1 species